GGGCAUGUAGCGCAGUUGGUAGCGCGCUCGCUUAGCAAACGAUUGUGUGCGAGAGGUCUCCGGUUCAAAUCCGGACUUGUCCA